UCAUGAUUUUUUCUUUUAUCUUUAAGUUGUACGAUACCAGGAGAACUUGUGAUAUGAUUGGAUUCUCUGAUACAUCUUUCAGCUAUAUAUAUACCAGCGGCGGUCUACAAUAUUUUCUCUUUGGCGUACUCAAAAACAUUAUAGAAGAGGGGAUUCUGCCAAAAUUUAUGGAUGACUGACCUUUAGGCAUCCAUUGAAAUUCUUCUCUUGACGCAACAUCUAUCACUACAUUCCAAACCCAAAAGCUAAUACCAGCGGUUAUUAGAUAAACAUUAUCAGAUUAUCCAACCAACGUUUAUUACUUCACCUCAAUAAUGGAGACAGUUGCUAAUUGGAAGUCGCUAAAAAGUACUCGAACCCUGCACGAAGGAGAUGGAGAUGGACAAGUAAUUACGUACUCUAAACCCAAAUCCCUUGGAUAUCUAGCCGGGAAAAAUGGUGAUGUCAAGAUACCGCCUAAGGUUUCAUUAUUACCUUUAAGAAUUUUACUGUCUGGGGCCUUCAAAUGAACACGAUUUCCUUUAAAAACAAGAAUGUCAAUGGAAUUAUAUAUGGAUAUUUCAAUGUCUAGUCAAUUUCACCUGGAAUACUAUGAAAUUAUCAGACUUACUUUCGGCAAUAUAUUCAAGCAUAAAGGCAUUUUUGUGAGAUUGAGAAUAAAGAAAUGUAAUAGAUACAGUUCUAGUAUUCGAUCUGUAUACAAUGGGAGUAUAGAUGCCGCAAAAAGAUGUUCCAGAUAUGUCAUCGUAAGGUGGUUCCGAUAUCCAAACGUAGUCACAUCUAUUUUCACAAUUGUAAUAAAUAUUAAUAGUGAAUACAAAUAACUUUCACCGAAAUUCAUAUAACAAUGAUAAUGGAAGUGAGACUUACCUACAAGGACUGUCCAAUACGAUGCCAAUGUCACUACAGGAAUUAGGUAAAUCAAUGUUUUUAAAUGUUACAACUAUUGCACAUGAAGGGCACGUAACUAACUCUAAACUGCACUGAUCAUGAGAAUUGUUUGCCAUAUACUGUCGUAAUUGUGAUGUGCUUGCUUGUAAUUUAACAGAACUCCUUAUGAAUGACAUAUUUUUGGCAUACAGCACACCCUGUUCACCAAGCUCCAAAUAUAAACGACGUCCAUUAUGAUGACCGCAUAUAUCUUCGUUUCUUAUAAUAUCGCAACGUAUAAUAGUUAUAGUGCAAUAUACCACUAUGAGAGCUUGCUUUAUGAGUACUGCCACCUUAAAUAUUAUAAAUGUAAAAUUAUUAUCUAUAUUUAAAACUAUCACUACAGUCGGCGGACUGCUACAAUUUUUGAAAAUCAUACCAUUAUGACUGGAGAACAUAUCCGAGCUAGUCAUAGAAGACCAGUCUCGUCUGCUUUCUAGGAGAAACCUACAAUGAACUUCCAGUAUAAUAUUAUUAGGGCGAACAUUACGUCUUUUCUCUCUUGUAUAUUUCAUUACUACAUUUUUAUGGUAUCUUUUGCACGCGCCAUUAUUGUCCCUCAUUCCAUUGGAAAUGGAAUAUAAACUUAUAUAUCGCACCAACACUAAUGAAUAAACAGGAAUUGCUAUUACAUCAUACGGCCUUUUCUUCAACACAAUGAUUAUAUUUUUUAUUGCAAGUUCAUUAAAGAAAUACAUUUAUAUACAUAAAAAAUGUGUUGUCCCAAUGAUAAUGAUGAUAAUGAUACAAUAAUGACAAUAAUAAUAAUAAUAAUAAUAAUAAUAAACAUAGCGUACACGUUGCUCUAUUAUUUAGCAAUUUUAUAUUCAUUUUUAAAACCUAUAUUAUAAUUCAAUUAUAUGCUUGCUAAUAUUAUAUAAUAAUAUAUAGUACUUUUAUGCAAUGUAUAGGAAUGUUAUCAGCCCUCCUUCAUUAUUCUUUUCUCAUCGACAUUAAGAAUUAUUCAUAUUACGACGUUUUUUACACCCGUGCAAUGUAACAAUAAACAUUUAUUCAUUAUAUAAAUAAGGAAAUAUGAAUUCUUUCUCAUAAAAAAGCAUGAUGAAUUGUAGGCCUAGUAGUUUAGGGCAUAUCAAAACACAGCCUAGAAUGUAUCUAUGAUAAUACAUUCUACAUGUUGCCGUUUAGUUAUAUUAUCAUAAAAAUCAUUUUUCAAGAAUGGUAAUUUCCUCCCAUUCAAAAUGUUCUACUACUUUAUAAUUUAAAAAAACAAACAAACAUAUGAGGAAAAACAAAAUACAGAAUAAAUAAUGUUGUACGGAUAUUUAAAAAAAAAAUUAGUUUCCAUUUAAAUUUACUACUGAGUCAGUAUAAACAUGAAACCAUUGAAUUUUACUAGUCCAUUUUAAAUACGAUGAUUGCAAUUGAAGCUGAAAUUGACCAAUUAUAGCAUUUGUGUGUAAAGCAUUGAUAUUGCUAUUUAAAUAUAGUAAAAAUAUUCAAACACGUGACGCCCCAGCUCGAAGAACAAAAAUUAAUCUCCAUGAUAAAUCACCCAUACAUUAUUACGCUAUAUUAUGUUUCAAUUACCACAAUAAAACUGGAGUUUUUUACCGCUUAGUCUCUCAGUUAUUUCUCCUGCCUCAUAUUUUUGUGGUAUGUAGAUUCUGAGUUAUGACAAUGUGGCAAUAUAAUCAAGAUAUAAUAUAUUCCAAAAUUGCAAUAAUUUUCAUGUUCUUUUUUAUAUAUCAUAAUUAAAUUUAUCCACUGGCAAUUGUUCAGCGUGUUUGCGAUUAUAUUCCCUUGCUGGGAUAAAUGUUUUUCCAUUUUUAUUUGAAAAAUCUGAGUGUAGAUUUAGAAUCUGAGUUCUAGAUUACUUCUGUAAUUUUUUUGGUUAUUAUUAUUCUUAUAUAUCAGUUGAAACAUUAAAUGUACAAUAUGUUUCUAAAGUGAAGAGCCGAGCAUAUGUUAAUUCGUAUUUAUUUUGCGCUUAUAAAUGAAAACGAAAGCAGAAAAAUUCAAUAUCUUCAUUAUUGGUUUUUGCAAAGGGAAUUCAAUCUGUACAUUUCACACUAUUUAACACCAAUUAUAUUCAAGUCUUUGAAAAGGUAUUGAACAUUUUUUAAAGACAAAAUAUUCUCAACUCUUCGCUUUUCCAGCAAUUACAAUUCCGUAAAUUUAAUCCACUGUGAAACUAUCCUCACACAACGAACACUUCCAUUCGAACUGGAUAUUUAAUAUACUGUCUUAUACAUUAUAUACCUCCAUUUUGUUGUGUUUAAUAUAGAAUAUAUAAAUUGGAACAUAUAAUGUAUAUGGAUGUAAAAUAUUUUACUCCUUCUUUUUCUUUUAACAUUUAUAUCAUCUGUAAUUUCCUAAAAUGCAAUACACAAAAAUAAAUGCUCAUUUUCCGAUUACCAUGUUUAUUAUUUAUAUUACUUUACGUCGCUUGUGACGAUUUAUUAACGUUACAUCAUAUCAACAAUUCAAUUAGAAAUUUUUUUACUUUUUUCAUCUUUUCACAUUUUUUUUUUGUUUUUUUUUUUUUUUUUUUUUACAAAGUAGGUAUCACAAAAUU